AACAGGUUGCCCAGAGAGGUGGGGAGACACUGAAGACACUCAAGGUCAGGCUGGAUGGGGCUCUGAUCAAGCUGUAGAUGUCCCAGCUCAUUGCAGGGGAGUUGGACUAGAUGGCCUUUAAAGGUCCCUUCCAACUCAAACCAUUCUAUGAUUGUUUUACCCAUUUAAGAACAGUAUCAGAAUGACCCAGUACACAGUAAUGCUCUCAGAGCUGUAAAAGUCAUUGAAAUUCAGCUGGAGACAGCAGAAAUACUUCAAAAUUACUCCGGUACACAUAGGGUUGAAAAUCAUAAUCCUGUGCUGCAAUAUAAUUGUAUUCAGAGAAACUAACUGCAGUAUCACAGAGCAUUACGGCUUGAAGCGAGGACUACGGAACAUAAGCAGAUGGACUCCUAAAAUACCCCAUGUUCAUCUGAGUGGAAAAACAAGAGAGGAGGACUGGAAGAAAUGUGCUGUUGAAACAAUGUGGCCUUCAUAAGUCUUUAAAAUGUUCUAUACAUUUCUUUAGGUCUUGGAGGUCUUCUUGGAGAGCCAAUGAUGAGGUGUCCUGGUGCAGUCCUCACGUGGCAGAACAAAGAUAUUUUGCUCUGAUUUCUUAUGUCCAAGCUCAGAAAGAACACAGGGAUAGGUGUGAAAACAGCCCAAAACAACUCAUACAUGACCCAGGCAAACACCUCCUUGGUGGACUUCCCCACUAUGAAUGAAAAAUGCAGAUGUCUGGGGGCCACUGUCACCAUGAGGACCUACACACAACUCUUGCGGCAGCUGCAGGAAUUUUUAACUUCUCGGCAGUCAGAGAGCUACGCGAACCUUGGAGCCAACUGGAGUCUCACUAUUUAUGCUAUGGUAGAGCCUACAGAUCACAAUCAGUCUUCCAGGGGAAAGCAAAUUGACUGAAGAGACUGGAUUUACUUAGGAGGGUGACCGAGAGAAGCCAGGCCUUCUGCAGUAACACAGUAUGGCAUGGACCUCACUACUGCACAGCCUCUCCCACACUCCUUCAGAGUUGGCUGCUGGCUACCCACUACCAGGCCUGCACAAGUAGCAUCUGCAGGUACCAAAUGCCAGAGCCCUCCAGGUCCCCCGCCCUGCUUUGACCCCGCACUCCUCAAACCAUUAUUGCAACAGCGACAAGGAAGGAUUCAGGCCACCACCUGAGAGUGGCCAAAGCAAACGAGGGGGAAGCAAUGCAUUCUGGGGAUCUGCCAGCCAAAACCUCCACACGCAGCCUGCAGGGAGCCAGUGAGUGGGAUCCUGGGCUCUGGAUACCUCCUAGCAGACCCACAGCCAGAAACCAACUUCACGUGGCUGGAAUCCAGCCACAAGGGAGAAUUCAGUGGAGAGGUGUGACAGCUGCAUUAGAAGAGAUAGUGGAGUUGCCCUGAUAAUAGAUUUGGCCCAUAGAUCAUUGUAAGUAAAUGAGUUGUCACUUACUGGCACGAAUUAUGUCUCAGUUUUACUGAGGAAGGGCAUAAUAAUGAGCAUACACUCUCUUCUUUUCCAAUUUAAAUAAUGGAGAUAAAUUUUACAUAGCUGCUAAAAAUCCACUGUUUUCAUACUGCACACUUUUCCAUUACUGUUAUUGGUAAUCAGUAAAAAAUUAAAAAAAAAAAAAAAAAAAAAAAAAUCUCAGGUUAUUGCAAAGUUGUUGCUUGCAAUUCACGGAGAUAUGAUUGGUUUAUUUGUUUACAGAUGUAGAACUAG
ensembl:lncRNA